AGCCAUGCAUGUCUAAGUAUAAAUAACUACACAGUGAAACUGCGAAUGGCUCAUUAAAACAGUUAUAGUUUAUUUGAUACAAGAAAUGGAUAACUGUAGAAAAACUAGAGCUAAUACAUGCCGUAACCGCAAGGUUGUAUUUAUUAGAUAUACCCAGUAGGUGAUUCAUAAUAACUAUGCAAAUCGAGGCUCUGCCUCGAUACAUCACUCAAGUUUCUGCCCUAUCAGCUUUCGAUGGUAGUGUAUUGGACUACCAUGGCUUUCACGGGUAACGGAGAAUUAGGGUUCGAUUCCGGAGAAGGAGCCUGAGAAACGGCUACUACAUCUAAGGAAGGCAGCAGGCGCGUAAAUUACCCAAUCCUGACUCAGGGAGGUAGUGACAAGAUAUAACAACGCUAUUUUAUAUAGCGAUUGUAGUGAGGGUUUUCUAAAAAGAACUUCGAGUACGAUUGGAGGGCAAGUCUGGUGCCAGCAGCCGCGGUAAUUCCAGCUCCAAUAGCGUAUAUUAAAGUUGUUGCAGUUAAAAAGCUCGUAGUUGGAUUUCAAAGUGGAGGUGAGGAAACUCGCCGAAACUUAUCAGUCCUAUCGGACUGUUACUGUGAGAAAAUUAGAGUGUUUAAAGCAGGCCAUUGCAGGAAUACAUUAGCAUGGAAUAACGAGUGUGUCUAGAAUCUUGGUUAAUUCUAGAAAACGAUUAAUAGGGACAGUUGGGGGCAUUAGUAUUUAAUUGUCAGAGGUGAAAUUCUUGGAUUUAUUAAAGACUAACAUAUGCGAAAGCAUUUGCCAAGGAUGUUUUCAUUAAUCAAGAACGAAAGAUUGGGGAUCAAAGACGAUCAGAU
rnacentral:rRNA from 1 species